GUAUUUAUUUUGCCGUUAAAGGCUGGUUACAUUCUACUGAACUUCAAAGGGUGUGUGUUAUAUAAAAGCAAGAGCAUGCUCCCGGCUCGACCUUCGACCCCGGAAGGCCAAAGGGAGCUGCUCCCACACGGAUGCGGGGAGAAUCACGCCCUCAGAGGUGCACAGGUGUAGAGUGGAUGAGCGGGGCAAGCACAUGCCUCGGGAGGCCAGCAUCAAACCCACAUCAAAACUCGAUAAUGAUCCUUCCGCAGGUUCACCUACGGAAA
rnacentral:misc_RNA from 1 species